CUGCACUGAUGACGUCUUAGGACACCUUUGGAUUAUCCAUGAAAAGAACUGAAGUGAAUCCUGAGCAGC